UAUAUUUUUCUUCAAAAUUCUUUCUUUUUUCCUAAACCAACUAUAAUGUUUUCAUCUGACCUUUACACACUAUUCUUUGAUUCACAUUUUCUGACAUAUACAAUUUUACACACUAUUCUUGAUUCACAAUUUGGAGGACUCACCACACCACACUUUAAAAAAUGGAUUAAGAAUAGAGGAACCCUAGAGUCACCUUUAGAGAACCAGCCGCAGCAGCCCCAAUCUGCCGGCCUCCGCCCCCUCAACACCAACAACACAACCGCACAACCUUAAACACCCCAUUCUAGCACCGGACUCCACAAAAAAACAACACCAGCGACCCCUUCUUCAACCGAACAGACCCAAGAGAACACCGAUCUCCAUCCAUCAGACCAUCCUUCAACUCCUCCUCUCACUAAACCAGCGGCGAACUCGUCAGAAAUGCCGCACACACACACACAGAGGCACGAGCAGUAGAGAGUACAGGGAGCUGACAGCCGCAAACCACCCCAAAUAGUCCAUUUCCAUGACUGUUCCGGCGAAAUCGAAGUUCGAAUCCCCGGUGCCGUUCGAGUUCCCAUCAAUCUGUUCCCGUGUCAUCUUCACGGUUCAGACUCGGUUCGCCGAAGUUAGAGGUAUGAAUUAGUGUACCAGGAUUCGAGCAUGACAGAUACCCUAGGACUACAUUCAGAAGCUGCUUUAGGAGCCUUUUUAUGUUUUUGAGUCUAUUAUUCAUGUUUUACUUUCUAGUCCUGUACAAUAGUAUUCAAUCAUUUAGUUGGUAUUGUCGUAGUAUAGUUUAGUUUGUCAAGUCUCUCAUUAUCGUACUUCCUAUUUUGUAUUUGAAAAAAAAGAAGUUAUAAAUGGAAAAUUCAAAAAGAUUUGUUUUAGUUUA